AGUGUUGUUAUUAUUAUUAAUGUAUUUUUUUUUUAAUUUUACUUGUUAUUUUUUUUACCUUUGGUUAAAUUGUAAACUACGUUUUUAUUAUAAAAUUGUGUUUUUAUUUAAUUUAUAUUAUAAGUUCUUUAUUCGAGAGUGAGCAAAUGCAUAAGGACACUAAACUUAUAAUAAUGUGUCGUUAAUUUUUUCCCGUUUUGUUACUUUGAUAACAUCAUAAUUGUCUAUCGAAAAAGUUUCUCGGAAUUGUUGUAGCUCGUUUAAAUUUGUUGAGACCACAGGCAAUACCGGACCCAAUGCCUUGUCCAAUGAAUUGCGGUUGUGUGUACAAAGGAAAACAUCGCAAGUAUAUUUUAAAACGUCAUUUGCUCUACGAAUGUGCAAUGCUGAAAGUUAAAUGUCCGCAUUGUCCCAAAUUAUUUAGUCAAAGAGCUCAUUAUAAGUUUCAUUUAUCUUCAGCGCAUGGAGUUAUGUCUAUACCAUUAGAAAAUGGUGAAUAACUAUAAUCUCGGAACGAGUCAGAGAAAUCGAAGGAUUAAUUAAAAUUAAG